rnacentral:rRNA from 1 species
GACGAACGCUGGCGGCGUGCUUAACACAUGCAAGUCGAACGAAGUGGCGAACGGGUGAGUCAUACGUGAGUAACCUGCCCUCCUUUUUGGGAUAAGCCUUGGAAACGGGGUCUAAUACCGAUUAAAGGGUAUGGGCUCGCGGCCUAUCAGCUUGUUGGUGGGGUGAUGGCCUACCAAGGCGGUGACGGGUAGCCGGCCUGAGAGGGUGACACGCGACAUGGGGACUGGGAUAGUGUCCUGAGUCAUACGGGAGGAAGCAGUGGGGGAUAUUGCACGAAGGGCGAAAGGAUGAUGCAGCGACGAGGCGUGGGGGAUGAAGGCUUUCGGGUUGUAAAUCUUUGUCGAUAUCGAACGGGUAGGUGGAGAAGAAGCGACGGCUAACUACGUGCCAGCAGCCGCGGUAAUUC